rnacentral:tRNA from 1 species
GCGGACGUGGUGGAACUGGUAGACACGCCAGCUUGAGGGGCUGGUGCCCAAUUACGGGCGUGGAAGUUCGAGUCUUCUCGUCCGCACCA